GAUGAACGCUAGCUACAGGCUUAACACAUGCAAGUCGAGGGGCAGCAUCAUCAAAGCUUGCUUUGAUGGAUGGCGACCGGCGCACGGGUGAGUAACACGUAUCCAACCUGCCGACAACACUGGGAUAGCCUUUCGAAAGAAAGAUUAAUACCGGAUGGCAUAGUUUUCCCGCAUGGGAUAAUUAUUAAAGAAUUUCGGUUGUCGAUGGGGAUGCGUUCCAUUAGGCAGUUGGCGGGGUAACGGCCCACCAAACCAACGAUGGAUAGGGGUUCUGAGAGGAAGGUCCCCCACAUUGGAACUGAGACACGGUCCAAACUCCUACGGGAGGCAGCAGUGAGGAAUAUUGGUCAAUGGACGAGAGUCUGAACCAGCCAAGUAGCGUGAAGGAUGACUGCCCUAUGGGUUGUAAACUUCUUUUAUACGGGAAUAAAGUUAGCCACGUGUGGCUUUUUGUAUGUACCGUAUGAAUAAGGAUCGGCUAACUCCGUG
rnacentral:rRNA from 1 species